rnacentral:rRNA from 1 species
GACGAACGCUGGCGGCGUGCCUAAUACAUGCAAGUAGAACGCACAGUUUAUACCGUAGCUUGCUACACCAUAGACUGUGAGUUGCGAACGGGUGAGUAACGCGUAGGUAACCUGCCUGGUAGCGGGGGAUAACUAUUGGAAACGAUAGCUAAUACCGCAUAAUAUUAAUUAUUGCAUGAUAAUUAAUUGAAAGGUGCAAUUGCACCACUACCAGAUGGACCUGCGUUGUAUUAGCUAGUAGGUGAGGUAACGGCUCACCUAGGCGACGAUACAUAGCCGACCUGAGAGGGUGAUCGGCCACACUGGGACUGAGACACGGCCCAGACUCCUACGGGAGGCAGCAGUAGGGAAUCUUCGGCAAUGGACGAAAGUCUGACCGAGCAACGCCGCGGGAGUGAAGAAGGUUUUCGGAUCGUAAAGCUCUGUUGUAAGAGAAGAACGGGUGUGAGAGUGGAAAGUUCACACUGUGACGGUAACUUACCAGAAAGGGACGGCUAACUACGUG